GACGUAGGGCGCGAGCGUUGUCCGGAUUUACUGGGCGUAAAGAGCGUGUAGGCGGCUUUGCAAGUCCGUUGUGAAAACUCAGGGCUCAACCCGGAGACGCCAUCCGAUACUGCGGUGACUGGAGUCUGGUAGGGGAUCACGGGAUUCCUGGUGUAGCGGUGAAAUGCGCAGAUAUCGGGAGGAACACCUAUGGCGAAGGCAGCUCGCUGGGACGUUACUGACGCUGAGACGCGAAAGCGUGGGGAGCAAACAGG
rnacentral:rRNA from 1 species